CUGUAAAUGUUACACGAGGAGAAAAGAGAACUCUCUGCAUGGGAGACAGUCUUGUAGCCAGAAGCUUUCUCCAGACAUUAUGUACAACAUACGGCUGGAUUCUUUAGCUGCGGAAAAAGAGUGGCAGGACAUGCGAAUUAUUGGACAUUUAGAGGCAAACAGACGCACAGUGCAAACUUCGGAGAUGGUUACAUCCACAAAGAAGACCCCGACAAAGAGAAAGUGUGCCCGAACGACUUAUUUCAUUGGAGGCAACGAGAUCUGCAAGAAUACUUUUCUGUUUCUUAUGGGGUCUAACCACUAACUGAGGUCUAAACCAGGACUAAAACAAGACUAAACCAGGAAGUACAGAUACAAGCUCUAAACAUUGGCAGAGACACCCUGGCUGAUAUAGUCAAACACUAUGAGGAGAAUGGGGCAAGACCACGUUUGAGGAAGAAGCACUCAUUGCCACGUCCACCAGCCAGGUUCAUCAGCCCUGAGGAUAUCAACAGAGUUGUGGACUUCAUAAAACACUAUGCAGAAGACAAUGCCAUCAUGCUGCCUGGCCGACAGCCUGGGCAUAAGGAUUGGCAUGUGAAGUUGCUGCCAACUCAUGUGUCCAAGGCCUCAGUGUGGCGUCUCUACGUGAAGUCUGCUAAGGAG